UACGAAGGGUGCAAGCGUUAAUCGGAAUUACUGGGCGUAAAGGCUGGUAGGCGGCCAACUAAGUCCGACGUGAAAUCCCCAGCUUAACCUGGGAACUGCGCCUGAUACUGGACGGCUUGAGUAUGGGAGAGGGAUGUAGAAUUCCAGGUGUAGCGGUGAAAUGCGUAGAUAUCUGGAGGAAUACCGGUGGCGAAGGCGGCAUCCUGGACCAUUACUGACACUGAUCCGCGAAAGCUAGGGGAGCAAACGGG
rnacentral:rRNA from 1 species